UGGGGAAUUUUGGACAAUGGGCGCAAGCCUGAUCCAGCCAUACCGCGUGAGUGAAGAAGGCCUUCGGGUUGUAAAGCUCUUUCAGCCGGAAAGAAAUUGCUUCUAUUAAUACUAGGGGUAGAUGACGGUACCGGAAGAAGAAGCACCGGCUAACUACGUGCCAGCAGCCGCGGUAAUACGUAGGGUGCGAGCGUUAAUCGGAAUUACUGGGCGUAAAGCGUGCGCAGGCGGUUUGGUAAGACAGAUGUGAAAUCCCCGGGCUUAACCUGGGAACUGCAUUUGUGACUGCCAGACUAGAGUGUAGCAGAGGGGGGUAGAAUUCCACGUGUAGCAGUGAAAUGCGUAGAGAUGUGGAGGAAUACCGAUGGCGAAGGCAGCCCCCUGGGCUAACACUGACGCUCAUGCACGAAAGCGUGGGGAGCAAACAGGAUUAGAUACCCUGGUAGUCCACGCCCUAAACGAUGUCAACUAGGUGUUGGGGAAGGAGACUUCUUUAGUACC
rnacentral:rRNA from 1 species